AUUGCAAAUUAAUCUAAGAUAUCAAUUCUUUCGUGUUUCAGCAGGUCAAGUUAGUGGCCGAAGGCAAUACUCAACAACUUGGAUUGGACUACAAAAAUAAUUUUCAUCAGUUAUGAAAAUGACAAACGUAAAAGCCUCGUUGGCCACUGCUGUGAAGAAAGGGUGGGCUAUAUAUAAUUGAAUAUAAAUAAUAUCUUUCUUUAUAACGAAUCACAUGAGGAAGCUAUAUGGCACUACCUCCAGGGAUGGCAGUGGACAAUAAGCUGGUUUGCAAGCUGAACAAACCCUUCUAUGGCUUAAAGUAGGAACAUUAUUGAUGAGAUGAUAGAUACGAAUUAGAGCUAAAAAAAAGAUCAAAAGGAAA